ACAAAAGCAAGUUGACCUUUUUGUGUUCCUUGUGCCCAGUUGCGGAAGGCCCUCGUGACUGGACCUCCUGCCAAACAACUCGUUACAAAAAACUGAGGGUACCAGACUGCGCCAAAGCUUCAUGAGACCUGUCCUCAUCUGUGCAGAAAUGAGUGGCCGACUCUGGAACCCAGGCUGUUGCUUACCACCUUGGUGGUGAAACCUCCAUACUCUAGUCCUGAAGGGGCGAGGCCUUAAGCAUUAUCCAAUCAGGGACACUGGGCUGGAAACCGUCCAAUCAGACACCCAGCUGGAGCGAACAGGUCGACUUCCGAGUUUGGCGGGGCCUUUGUCUCUCACUGCACCUGGAGCUCCAGGUCUCAUCUUCACUACUCUGUGUCCUCUGCUGCUGGAGGCCCAGCCCUGUGACCUGACGGUUUUGGGAGAUCCACAGCUAAGACGCC
rnacentral:lncRNA from 10 species